AAGUCGUAACAAGGUCUCCGUAGGUGAACCUGCGGAGGGAUCAUUAACAUACACCAUAAGGUAUAUAUGUGUGUAUGGGUCUCCAUACCACAUGUAUUCUCCCACACCCAUGAACCUCUGAUAUCACCCAAACUGGGUGUAUAGGAUCUCUUUCCCUGCCUAGCUGGGAAACCCUGUACGCCUCCCCAUUUCUUCCCCCUUUAUUUUUUCACCCCUCCCUACUCUUUACAUUAUACAGUAUAGGACGAUAGUCAACUAUACAUCACUCCUAGCAAUGGAUAUCUAGGUUCUC
rnacentral:misc_RNA from 1 species